GGGUUUUCUCCGGUCAAAGAAAGGAUAAAAAGUUACGCCAUCUAGAUUAACAAAAAUCUUUCAUUAAACAGUAGUAAAUUAAAUUCCCGCUUAAAUUCAUCGUCAUUUUUUGUCCAGACGCCAUCUUUCAACAGUGAAACAAGUGUAAAUCUUUUCAGAUUUAGUUAAUGCCAUUAUAAUUAAAUUGUAAGAUACCUGUAAUAUAGAUGAAUCACCUUGAACACUGAUUACCUAACUUAGUUAGUUGACUGCCUUUGGACCAUUUCAGAAAUAAAUCAUCCAUAAUGACGAUAAAUUUAAUAUAAUAGCUCGGAUUCAACGUUGAUGCGAGAUUUGCUAGAAAAGAUACUGUUGCAUUUUGUUGGUUGGAAAGGGUUGGUUUAAAACUUGGUAACAAACGCUGGGGAUAGAAAGUGCUUCAUUUACAUUUGGCUUUCUCGUUGUAUUCAUCAAUCAAUCACAGUAUGGUUAUUAUGAUACCAGAUUUGAAACAAUCUUUAACAAAGAUUAAAGCAUAAGAUACAGCAAUUGAGAGCUACCCACUAAGCCAAUUGGACAAUGGUUGAGUCGCGUUACAAAAGUCAAAUGAAUCUUGAGGAAAACAUUGAUAUCAGAUUCAAUGGCAGAGAGAAAUAACCAUUAAAUGCUGUUUAAGAUGAUUUAAGGAAUAGCAAUAACAAAUGUUUAAUGCCAAAAGAUAAUCAAACAAACAGAAGUGGAUUGAAGCCAAUGUGAAAACCGUUUUGUGAGAAAGUUAAAAGAGCGUCAUCAGGAGACAUUUUUUGCAACAAACUGAUUCCAAUUUAUUUUCCUUCAAGACCUUGUCUAUGUUAUUUCUCUGUCUUGCAUUAUCCAUUAUUUACGUUAUUCAUUUUAUUUUGCUUAACCCUAUCCUCCAUAAUCAUCAUCUUCACCUUCUCAUUUUUGCAAGAGUCUCUAUUUUACCUACAAAAACAAGAAAACAUUCAACUCCUACUGCAAGAUCAUCAUCAAAACCAUAAGCGUCUUGGCUUCUCAACCAUCAACCAAUUCAAUCUCGAGCUCUUACCUGAGCCAUGUUUAAAAUUAAAUCUCAAUUGCUAGUGAUUCUUUGAUUGGACAUUGCAAUACUUCAUCAUUUCGUUCUUUCGUUCUGUUUGCCACUGUCAUAUUGCAACAAACCAUCAAUUAUAAACCAUGAGAUCAUUAUUUUUACACCUACUUUGCCUGCUUUUUGCAUCCUUUUUCAAGCCAGGUGACUUUACUGGCUGUCGAUUUAUGGUUGACAAUUGCGAUGAAGAUUGUCACGAUAUCUGCAAAGCAACCUGUUCCAAAAAUUUUGGUGUCUGUGCCGAAGAGGAAAGGAUAAGUUACUGUUAUUGUUUUGAAACAAAACCAAAGGAAAAAUGGAUACACGAUUGGAAAUCUGAUGAGGAACCAUCCUCUCAAUCUUUAUCAUCUCAUGAAGAUCAUCACAAUUCUCGUUCUAAAAGUGCUUCUGAUUUAUGACAGCUAUCAAAUUUAAUUUCAGAUUUUUCUCUGUUAUUGUUGUUUAUCUCUGUGAGUCCUGUUAAUAACCUGUUCAAAAACUAUUGAGUAAAUUUACAUUUAAUUUUUGUUUA